rnacentral:rRNA from 1 species
GACGAACGCUGGCGGCGUGCUUAACACAUGCAAGUCGAGCGGAAAGGCCCUUCGGGGUACUCGAGCGGCGAACGGGUGAGUAACACGUGAGUAACCUGCCCCAGACUUUGGGAUAACCCUCGGAAACGGGGGCUAAUACCGGAUACGACACAGCUUCGCAUGGGGUCUGUGUGGAAAGUUUUUCGGUUUUGGAUGGGCUCGCGGCCUAUCAGCUUGUUGGUGGGGUGAUGGCCUACCAAGGCGACGACGGGUAGCCGGCCUGAGAGGGCGACCGGCCACACUGGGACUGAGACACGGCCCAGACUCCUACGGGAGGCAGCAGUGGGGAAUAUUGCACAAUGGGCGGAAGCCUGAUGCAGCGACGCCGCGUGAGGGAUGACGGCCUUCGGGUUGUAAACCUCUUUCAGAAGGGACGAAGCGUAAGUGACGGUACCUGCAGAAGAAGCGCCGGCCAACUACGUG